rnacentral:rRNA from 1 species
UACGGGGGGGGGGCAAGCGUUGUUCGGAAUUACUGGGCGUAAAGGGCUCGUAGGCGGCCAACUAAGUCGGACGUGAAAUCCCCCAGGCUCAACCUGGGAACUGCGUCUGAUACUGGAUGGCUUGAAUUCGGGAGAGGGAUGCAGAAUUCCAGGUGUAGCGGUGAAAUGCGUAGAUAUCUGGAGGAAUACCGGUGGCGAAGGCGGCAUCCUGGACCGACAUUGACGCUGAGGAGCGAAAGCUAGGGGAGCAAACGGG